GCUUUAAUUAUAUCUCCUAAAAACUUACAAGACAUAAAAGAUUAUUUCAAAAAGCAAGGUGAGGAGAUUGAGGUCAUUGGUAAGCUUAACUAAACACUGGAACUUGUAUUUUUAAAAAAGCAUCUCUUGCAAAACCUACUUCUGACAGCAAUUUUGUCAUUAAAACUUGCCUACACUCCUUAAAUACAUCCAAGUAUUCUGCGGUGCUUGUCUGCGUUUCUCCACAACAUUUCUCAUCUGCCAUGCAACAAAGCCAUCCAGAAUUAUGGUUAUUAGCAUGGCUAC